AACUACGUGAAAAUGUAGCUAAGGGAAGGCAGAAUAAGACGCAGGACUAUCAGUUAGUUGGUAGUGUAAUGGACUACCAAGACAGUGACGGUUGACGGGAAAUUAGGGUUUUGUACCGGAGAGGGAGCCUGAGAGAUUGCUCCCACGUCCAAGGACGGCAGCAGGCGCGAAAAUUGCCCACUCUUUGCAGGAGGCAGUUAUGAGACGUGAAGAUGAGUAUCUUGUAAAGAGGGAUAGGAGAAUUGGAGGGCAAGUUUGGUGCCAGCAGCCGCGGUAAUACCGACUCCAAGAGUGUGUAUGAGAGAUGCUGCAGUUAAAAAGUCCGUAGUCAUAGAAGGGCAAGAGAGAUGCGAGGUCUCACAGUGCGAUGAUGGAGGAGCCGAUGGGGAACAUAGUAUACCAGGGCGAGAGAUGAAAUGCCAAGACCCCUGGUGGACUGAGCGAGGCGAAGGCGAUGUUCUUGUAGGCAUUCGGUGAUCAAGGACGAAGGCUGGAGUAUCGAAAGUGAUUAGAUACCGCAGUAGUUCCAGCAGUAAAAGAUGCCGACAUGCUCAUUGGACACAGUGGGCAGGGAGAAAUCUUAGAGUUCGGGCUCUGGGGAUAGUAUGCUCGCAAGGGUGAAAAUUAAAGAAAUUGACGGAGCUACACCACAAGGAGUGGAUUGUGCGGCUUAAUUUGACUCAACGCGAGGAAACUUACCAGGGCCAAGUAUUGUGUAGAAACGAGCAAUACAGGAGUGGUGCAUGGUCGUUGGAAAUUGAUGGGAUGACUUUGACCUUAAAUGGUUGAAUGAGUGAGAUCUUUUGGACAUGUUCCGCACGGAACAGGAAGGAAAAGGCUAUAACAGAUCCGAGAUGCCCUCAGAUGCCCUGGGCUGCACGCGCAAUACAAUAGCAGGUAGAGAUAGAGACAGGAAGGUGCUCAGAUGGACUAUGUGCUGUAAGGCACAUACGAAAGAGGAAUUCCUAGUAAGUGUGUAUCAACAAUGGAUAUUGAA
rnacentral:rRNA from 1 species